UAGAGAUUGUCCCUCCAUGCCAGGUUGGAGGCACAUUGGCUGCAGCAGCAUGUGAAAUCUGCCAAAUGCAGUAGUUGUUUUCCUCUUGAGCAUGACUUCAUCUUUCAAAGCUGUCAGUCAAGCACUGUUUAAAAGCUAAGCAGUGCUUAUUAAUGGAAUCAGACCCAUUCGCACAUCCACACAGUGGUGAACAUUUGGAAAUGAAAGAAUUCACUCCUGUCUGCAUGAUGUACACUGCAGGGGGAAGGGAAGGUAACAGGAUGAGAAGAACAGCAGGAAGCUUUCUUGCCUCUUGUAGAAGAGUCAAUGAACUUUCGGAGAUAUAAACAGAAACAGGGAACCAUUUUAAUAUUCAUCUCUUGAGGCAUUGAAGGGGACAGAGGUCUUCAAAUUAUACAACACUGUAUCCUUCAGACAAGAGGACUGAAGUCUCUGGGAACUGACUUUAGAAAUAGCUAAGACAAGCUCCAAAUGACAUCAGAAUAGAGAGCCCUAUCCUUCUCUCACCUACUUCUACAUACUGUAACCUCCCUGACUCCAUCAGAGGCACUCCUGAUUUGUACCAGUAAAAGUCUGAGGAGAAUCAAGCCAAGCAAGUUUUUGUUUGUCUUUUAAUUUUUGGAAGAGGCUCCCUUCUGUUUCUAAUUAAUGUGUGUGGGGAGAGGGAGGGUAUGUGUGCUGCUAACAAAUGUCCCUCUGAAAUAUUUCAGUGGAAAGAAAAAAAAGACCUAGACUGAAGUAAAACCUUAAUAUGAGGACUAGAGCCGGCACCAGGUACAAGCUGACUAAACAAUUGCUUAGGGCCCUGAUCAGCUCAAGCGGGGCCCCCUUAGUAUGUGUCGUGUGUGUGUGGGGGGAAGGCGGAAUAUUCCUGUUGAAGGCCCCCAAUGGCUUAGCAACGCCUCCAGUGAGGACUCCAUUUUUUGUUGUUAUUUUAAGAAUUUUUACUAUAAUCUCUCUGAGACUGCAUAACAUGCUUAAAUCUGAUGUAGUUUGUAUUCAAUAUACAUUAAGAAACGGUAUAUAUAACGGUAUAGUUGGCUGGUGUCUUUCAGAAGACUGUUUAAAUGGAAAGAAAAUACAAAGGCUUUGCUAAUAAUAAAUAAGAUGUACAAGUAA